CCGAGUUUACAACUCCCAAAACCCCUGUGAACAUACCACUUGUUGCCUCGGCGGAUCAGCCCGCUCCCGGUAAAACGGGACGGCCCCGCCAGAGGACCCCUAAACUCUGUUUCUAUAUGUAACUUCUGAGUAAAACCAUAAAUAAAUCA
rnacentral:misc_RNA from 1 species